rnacentral:rRNA from 1 species
UUAAUUGAAGAGUUUGAUCAUGGCUCAGAUUGAACGCUGGCGGCAGGCCUAACACAUGCAAGUCGAGCGGCAGCACAGAGGAACUUGUUCCUUGGGUGGCGAGCGGCGGACGGGUGAGUAAUGCCUGGGAAAUUGCCCGGUAGAGGGGGGAUAACCAUUGGAAACGAUGGCUAAUACCGCAUAACCUCGCAAGAGCAAAGCAGGGGACCUUCGGGCCUUGCGCU